UAAGCGGAGGAAAAGAAACCAACAGGGAUUGCUCUAGUAACGGCGAGUGAAGCAGCAAUAGCUCAAAUUUGAAAUCUGGCGUCUUCGACGUCCGAGUUGUAAUUUGUAGAGGAUGCUUCUGAGUGGCCACCGACCUAAGUUCCUUGGAACAGGACGUCAUAGAGGGUGAGAAUCCCGUAUGCGGUCGGAAAGGCGCUCUAUACGUAGCUCCUUCGACGAGUCGAGUUGUUUGGGAAUGCAGCUCUAAAUGGGAGGUAAAUUUCUUCUAAAGCUAAAUAUUGGCCAGAGACCGAUAGCGCACAAGUAGAGUGAUCGAAAGAUGAAAAGCACUUUGGAAAGAGAGUUAAAAAGCACGUGAAAUUGUUAAAAGGGAAGGGAUUGCAACCAGACUUGCUCGCGGUGUUCCGCCGGUCUUCUGACCGGUCUACUCGCCGCGUUGCAGGCCAGCAUCGUCUGGUGCCGCUGGAUAAGACUUGAGGAAUGUAGCUCCCUCGGGAGUGUUAUAGCCUCUUGUGAUGCAGCGAGCGCCGGGCGAGGUCCGCGCUUCGGCUAGGAUGCUGGCGUAAUGGUCGUAAUCCGCCCGUCUUGAAACACGGACCAAGGAGUCUAACAUCUAUGCGAGUGUUCGGGUGUCAAACCCCUACGCGUAAUGAAAGUGAACGGAGGUGAGAACCGCAAGGUGCAUCAUCGACCGAUCCUGAUGUCUUCGGAUGGAUUUGAGUAAGAGCAUAGCUGUUGGGACCCGAAAGAUGGUGAACUAUGCCUGAAUAGGGUGAAGCCAGAGGAAACUCUGGUGGAGGCUCGCAGCGGUUCUGACGUGCAAAUCGAUCGUCAAAUUUGGGUAUAGGGGCGAAAGACUAAUCGAACCAUCUAGUAGCUGGUUCCUGC
rnacentral:rRNA from 1 species